rnacentral:misc_RNA from 1 species
GAUGAAGAACGUAGCGAAAUGCGAUACGUAAUGUGAAUUGCAGAAUUCAGUGAAUCAUCGAAUCUUUGAACGCACCUUGCGCCCCUUGGCAUUCCGAGGGGCACACCCGUUUGAGUGUCGUGAACAUCCUCAACCUCCUUGGUUUUUAUCGAACCAAGUAGGAUUGGAAUUUGGAGGUUUUCUGCUGGCCUCCUCUGAAGCCAGCUCCUCUUAAAUGUAUCAGUGGGAUCCGCUUUGCUUAGAUCCUCGACGUUGAUAAGAUGUUUCUACGUCUUGGGUUUUUCUCGCAAAGGACCUGCUUCUAACCGUCCCCAUCGGGGACAACCUUUGAGCCGAUCACCCUUCACGGGGUGGGAAGCUCUUUGACCCACGAAACCUUGACCUCAAAUCGGGUGAGACUACCCGCUGAACUUAAGCAUAUCAAUAAGCGGAGGA